rnacentral:rRNA from 1 species
UAAUGCUUGGGAAUAUGCCUUAUGGUGGGGGACAACAGUUGGAAACGACUGCUAAUACCGCAUGAUGUCUACGGACCAAAGUGGGGGACCUUCGGGCCUCACGCCAUAAGAUUAGCCCAAGUGGGAUUAGCUAGUUGGUGAGGUAAUGGCUCACCAAGGCGACGAUCCCUAGCUGGUUUGAGAGGAUGAUCAGCCACACUGGGACUGAGACACGGCCCAAACUCCUACGGGAGGCAGCAGUGGGGAAUAUUGCACAAUGGGCGCAAGCCUGAUGCAGCCAUGCCGCGUGUGUGAAGAAGGCCUUCGGGUUGUAAAGCACUUUCAGUAAGGAGGAAAGGUUAAGUGUUAAUAGCGCUUAGCUGUGACGUUACUUACAGAAGAAGCACCGGCUAACUCCGUGCCAGCAGCCGCGGUAAUACGGAGGGUGCGAGCGUUAAUCGGAAUUACUGGGCGUAAAGCGUACGCAGGCGGUUUGUUAAGCGAGAUGUGAAAGCCCCGGGCUCAACCUGGGAACUGCAUUUCGAACUGGCAAACUAGAGUGUGAUAGAGGGUGGUAGAAUUUCAGGUGUAGCGGUGAAAUGCGUAGAGAUCUGAAGGAAUACCGAUGGCGAAGGCAGCCACCUGGGUCAACACUGACGCUCAUGUACGAAAGCGUGGGGAGCAAACAGGAUUAGAUACCCUGGUAGUCCACGCC